AAUAGAUACCCUGGUAGUCCACGCCCUAAACGAUGCGAACUGGAUGUUGGGUUCAACUUGGAACCCAGUAUCGAAGCUAACGCGUUAAGUUCGCCGCCUGGGGAGUACGGUCGCAAGACUGAAACUCAAAGGAAUUGACGGGGGCCCGCACAAGCGGUGGAGUAUGUGGUUUAAUUCGAUGCAACGCGAAGAACCUUACCUGGUCUUGACAUCCACGGAACUUUCCAGAGAUGGAUUGGUGCCUUCGGGAACCGUGAGACAGGUGCUGCAUGGCUGUCGUCAGCUCGUGUCGUGAGAUGUUGGGUUAAGUCCCGCAACGAGCGCAACCCUUGUCCUUAGUUGCCAGCACGUAAUGGUGGGAACGUCUAAGGAGACCGCCGGUGACAAACCGGAGGAAGGUGGGGAGUGACGUCAAGUCAUCGAUGGCCCGUUACGACCAGGGCUACACACGUACUACAAUGGUGGGGACAGAGGGCUGCAAUCCCGCGAGGUGAGCCAAUCCCAGAAACCCCAUCUCAGUCCGGAUCGGAGUCUGCAACUCGACUCCGU
rnacentral:rRNA from 1 species